rnacentral:rRNA from 1 species
GUAGUCUCGCACAGAUGCAUAUCAAUAAGCGGAGGAAAAGAAACUAACAAGGAUUCCCCUAGUAACGGCGAGUGAAGCGGGAAGAGCUCAGAUUUGAAAUCUUAAAGGGUUUCCCUUUACGAAUUGUAGUUUAAAGAAGUGUUUUCUGUUGAGGUUUUGGUAAAAGUUCUUUGGAAUAGGACAUCAUAGGAGGGUGAGAAUCCCGUAUUUGACCUUUACUUUCAACUUUGUGAUACACUUUCAAAGAGUCGGAUUGUUUGGGAAUGCAGUCCAAAAUGGGUGGUAAAUUUCAUCUAAAGCUAAAUAUUGGCGAGAGACCGAUAGCGAACAAGUACCGUGAGGGAAAGAUGAAAAGAACUUUGAAAAGAGAGUUAAACAGUACGUGAAAUUGUCAAAAGGGAAGCGUUUGACACCAGUGUUGUUUUUCUGAAAAUCAAUUAAAGGACUGUUUAUGCUAAGCUGUUUAGACUUUAUCAGCUAACUGUUUAGUUUUGAGCUUUUCUUUAAUGCACUUUUCAGUUAACAAGUCAACAUCAAUUUCUUUUGCUGUAAAAAAGCUUGAGGAAGGUGGCUUGAGAUUCGUCUUAAGUGUUUAUAGCCUCUUGCCUAUGCAGUCGGAGAGAUUGAGGUCUGCAGCGUAGACCCUUCGGGGCUAAAUGCAUUUGUGCUAAGUUAUAGCAUUUUAUAGACAACUUGUUGACUAUGAUUUGUCUUGUAGCUUACUCGCUUAUGUUAUUUUACCUACGCUUAGGAUGUUGAGUAGCGACAUACGCAC